UCUGCUCCAAGCUCACUCUUGUGGCUGUUGACAGGAAGCUUCAGUUUCUUGCCAUAGCCCGUCUCCAUAUGGCUACUCAUGGCAUGGCUUCCCCCAAAGCAAUUGGUUAGAGAGAGAGAGCCCGAAGCCACAGUGCCUAAUCUCAGAAGUGACAAAUCAUCACACAGACCAACCCAGUAUAACAUGGGAGGGGACUACACAAAGGUAUGAAAUAACAGGAGAUAGAGGUUGUUGGGAUCAUUGUCACGGCUUGCUACCCCAGACAGUGAGAGGAAGACCACGCAAGGUUUAUACAUAAAUUUUCGUCACCUUUAUAAACAGCGCAGACGGCGCUAUGGACAAAAAAAGAAAAAGAUCCACUAAAAAGAAAGAUUUAGAUGGCUUCUUGCCAGUUUGAGCCUAAUCUGAUUCUUACAGUUUUACCUUCUUGAACCAAUGUAAAAGUUUUUUUAAUGUUAAAUGAUUAAAUUCUCAGUGAGGCUA
rnacentral:lncRNA from 10 species